GUCCUUUAAUUUUAAACUUUACUGGCCCUUUAAGGUGGCCACACUUCUGAAGCUCCCAGGCACUGGAUCGUACUACCACAGGGCAAGGUAACCCCUCGGAAUACUUGGAAAAGCUCCAGAAAUAACAAGCCAUUUAUUAGAGCGAGCGGCCCUGCGGGACAAUGAAUAAAAACCUUUCCUCUCUUUAAUUGUUAGGCAUUGCCCAGGUGAUUGCACUCGUCCCUGGUAUACAGUAUUGAUUUCCUCUCUACACGCCGCACUCUCCUGUUCAUUUUCCAAUAACGUCUUUUGUAUUUUAUUGUGUUGUAUCUGCCUGUUCCCUUUGCUCCUCUUGUUUGUUUGUUUUCUGAUUGAUUCUUGGCUGUUGAAUGCCAGUCUUGAAUGCUGUAAAGUCGGAUAAUAGCUAUCUUGUGUAUUUAUUUUUU